rnacentral:rRNA from 1 species
CCUGGGGUAGGGGUGAAAUCCUGUAAUCCUGGGGGGACCACCAGUGGCGAAGGCGUCUAACUAGGACGGGUCUGACGGUGAGGGACGAAACCCUGGGGCGCAAACCGGAUUAGAUACCCGGGUAGUCCAGGGCGCAAACGCUGCUUGCUUGAUGUUAGUUGGGCUCCGAGCUCAGCAAGUGUCGGAGAGAAGUUGUUAAGCAAGCUGCCUGGGAAGUACGAUCGCAAGAUUGAAACUUAAAGGAAUUGGCGGGGGAGCACAGCAACGGGUGGAGCGUGCGGUUUAAUUGGAUUCAACGCCGGAAAACUCACCGGAGGUGACGGUUACAUGAAGGCCAGGCUGAUGACCUUGCCUGAUUUUCCGAGAGGUGGUGCAUGGCCGCCGUCAGUUCGUACCGUAAGGCGUUCUGUUAAGUCAGAUAACGAACGAGACCCUCAUCCUUAAUUGCUACUGACAACUCCGGUUGUCACGCACAUUAAGGAGACCGCUGGCGAUAAGUCAGAGGAAGGCGAGGGCAACGGUAGGUCAGUAUGCCCUGAAUCCUCCGGGCUACACGCGCGCUACAAAGGCCAGGACAAUGGGCUCCGACACCGAAAGGUGAAGGCAAUCUCGAAACCUGGUCAUAGUUCGGAUUGAGGGUUGAAACUCACCCUCAUGAAGCUGGAAUCCGUAGUAAUCGCAGAUCAACAUCCUGCGGUGAAUAUGCCCCUGCUCCUUGCACACACCGCCCGUCAAACCAUGCGAGUUGGGUUCAAGUGAGGAUGUAGUAUUUUGCUCUGUUCAAACUUGGGCUUAGCAAGCGGGGUU